rnacentral:rRNA from 1 species
UACGGGGGGGGCAAGCGUUGUUCGGAAUUACUGGGCGUAAAGGGCUCGUAGGUGGCCAACUAAGUCAGACGUGAAAUCCCUCGGCUUAACCGGGGAACUGCGUCUGAUACUGGAUGGCUUGAGUUCGGGAGAGGGAUGCGGAAUUCCAGGUGUAGCGGUGAAAUACGUAGAUAUCUGGAGGAACACCGGUGGCGAAGGCGGCAUCCUGGACCGACACUGACACUGAGGAGCGAAAGCCAGGGGAGCAAACGGG